rnacentral:rRNA from 1 species
CAGCCGCCGCGGGAACACGUAGGUGGCAAGCGUUGUCCGGAAUUAUUGGGCGUAAAGGGCUCGCAGGCGGUUUCUUAAGUCUGAUGUGAAAGCCCCCGGCUCAACCGGGGAGGGUCAUUGGAAACUGGGAAACUUGAGUGCAGAAGAGGAGAGUGGAAUUCCACGUGUAGCGGUGAAAUGCGUAGAGAUGUGGAGGAACACCAGUGGCGAAGGCGACUCUCUGGUCUGUAACUGGCGCUGAGGAGCGAAAGCGUGGGGAGCGAACAGGAUUAGAUACCCGUGUAGUCCCUGUCUCUUAUAC